GAUGAACGCUAGCGGCAGGCCUAAUACAUGCAAGUCGAGGGGCAGCGGGAGUAGCAAUACUUGCCGGCGACCGGCGCACGGGUGCGUAACACGUAUGUAAUCUACCUUUUACUGGAGAAUAGCCCGAAGAAAUUCGGAUUAAUACUCCAUAAUAUAAUUGAGGGACAUCUCUUGAUUAUUAAAGUUCCGACGGUAAAAGAUGAGCAUGCGCGAUAUUAGCUAGUUGGUGAGGUAACGGCUCACCAAGGCGACGAUAUCUAGGGGUACUGAGAGGUUACACCCCCACACUGGUACUGAGACACGGACCAGACUCCUACGGGAGGCAGCAGUAAGGAAUAUUGGACAAUGGUCGCAAGACUGAUCCAGCCAUGCCGCGUGCAGGAUGACUGCCCUAUGGGUUGUAAACUGCUUUUAUACGGGAAUAAACCCGGGUACGUGUACCCGGCUGAAUGUACUGUAAGAAUAAGGGUCGGCUAACUUCGUGCCAGCAGCCGCUGUAAUAC
rnacentral:rRNA from 1 species